GGUUAGUGCAGGUGUAGAUAGCCUUAGCUGUGCAUUGCUCUCUUUGCAUCAGUCAAUAUUAUCAGGUGGCCAGAGGAGUUAUCUAAAGCAUUGGGGCAUUUUGGGAACUUAUGUGAAUUAAAAUAAUGUAUAAAUAUUCCUUAUAUAUAUUAAGUAUGUCAUGUCACUUAAAUUGUAUGAAUGUAUAUUGUAACUAAGUAGUAAAUUAUGUUUAUGAAGUUAAAUAUAUAUAUAUUGCUAUUCAAUUGGAUAUUUGAGUUGGGGUG
rnacentral:lncRNA from 1 species